rnacentral:rRNA from 1 species
UACAGAGGGUGCAAGCGUUGUUCGGAAUUAUUGGGCGUAAAGGGCUCGUAGGCGGUUUGUCGCGUCGGGAGUGAAAAUCCAGGGCUUAACUCUGGACUGGCUUUCGAUACGGGCAGACUAGAGGUAUGCAGGGGAGAACGGAAUUCCUGGUGUAGCGGUGAAAUGCGCAGAUAUCAGGAGGAACACCGGUGGCGAAGGCGGUUCUCUGGGCAUUACCUGACGCUGAGGAGCGAAAGUGUGGGGAGCGAACAGG